AUUAGUAAGAAGAAAUUGUUCUGAGUUUAUUCGUUACUGAUUGUGUUAAUGAUUGUUCUUAGAAGGAUAGACGUUUUAUAGCUGUAAUUGCCUUAUUUACUGUUUGGUGUGAGUGAAGAAUGUAUGGUAAUUAACUGAGAAAGGACAGCUAGGCCAGAUGGUCAAGAAGGGAGUGAAGGAGUCGAGAGGCGCCAACUUUCACCCGGAUGGCACAUUGACAACCCUGAAGCAAAGGCAUAAACCCCAAGGACAAGAUAAAGAGUGGAGCCAGAGGGACGAGAUAAGAAACAGCUGUGGAUAAUUCCCACUAACAACCCAAAUAUUGCUAAUUGGAGCAACCUUGACUAACUCAUGAUUAACAGCUCCAGUGUGACACAGGGAGGUCCAGAGACUUGUAUGGGAACUUAUUACUAUAAAAGAAGGGUGUAUUGCCAUGAGACUUUGGGUUCGUUCUGCAUUAACAUCAGAGCUUCGAAUGCGUUCAACAGACGCCCAGCUCCACUCCCUCGUGUGCAGUUUCAGCUGGUCACUGGAACUGACCGAGCAACACUAAGGACUGAGAAAUAUUCCUGCUGAGCUAGUGGCACAGGGAAAUGAGAAAACUAACAGCAAUGACUUCACUCAGUUGCAGAAGAUAAUUCAGCCAUACAAAGAUUGAAGAAUUUGAACUUAUCUAGGGACGGUUCUCUUACAGGCAAUGGUUAGAAUGCGGCGAAGAAGAACUAAGGAGGACUUUGUCUGUGAGGUUAUGAUGAUGCACUCCGCAGCCGAGAAACAGGAAUUGAAGGAGUGGCGGAACAGCGAGAAGAGGGACCAAAAGGAGAACGUGGCACACCUGAAGGAAGCCAUGGAGCAGCUCUUAAACAUUAUGGAGCACCAAGUGGACACGCUUCAGGCAAUACUAGCUCUUCAAACCGAGCAGCUCCAUGACUGCCCUCCCCUGUAGCUGCUGUCACAAAACACACACACUACCAACACACUGUUAUCAACCUCCUGGCUCCACUCUACCCUCAGCAUUCCACUCCUCCCAGUCCAGCAGUGUGGAUUCCCACUACCCACUGCACUCAACACCCAUCCCUCUGCAGUUUGGCCCUGCUGAAGUACAGCACCCACUGUAUUGUACUCCAAAGGAGAAGGUUGGGUACGAUCCCUGGAUAUACACAAAUCUGUAGUCGUCUCAGGACCCCUCCUCCCCUCAAGACCUUCCCUUUCCUCAUCCCCCUCCCCAGCUGAUGGAUUUUUUUGUUUGACUUUCUCCUCCAUUUGUUGUCUUUUAAUAAGAGAAUUGUGUUGGUUUGAAA